GUUUUGGUAGCUUAAUUUAAUAAAGCAUCGACCUUGUAAGUCGAAGACCGGAGGUUUAAAACCCCCCCAAAACA
rnacentral:tRNA from 1 species